ensembl:misc_RNA Metazoa_SRP Metazoan signal recognition particle RNA
GCUGGGCGCAGUGAGUGGCGCAUACCUGUAGUCCCAGCUACUUGGGAUGCUGAGGCGGGAGGAUCACCUGAGUCCAGAGGUUCUGGGCUGUAGUGGGCUAUGACAACCGGGUGUCCGCACUAAGUUCAGCAUCAAUAUGGUGACCUCCCGGGAGCAGGGGACCAGGUUGCCUAAGGAGGGGUGAACCGGCCGAGGUUGGAAAUGGAGCAGGUCAAAAUUCCCGUGCUGAUCAGCAGUGGGAUCGCGCCUGGGAAUAGCCACUGCACUCCAGCCUGGGCAACAUAGCGAGACCCUGUCUCUA